UUUCUACGGGAGGCAGCAGUGAGGAAUAUUGGUCAAUGGGCUUACGCCUGAACCAGCCAAGUAGCGUGAAGGAUGACUGCCCUAUGGGUUGUAAACUUCUUUUAUAUGGGAAUAAAAUGUUCCACGUGUGGGAUUUUGUAUGUACCAUAUGAAUAAGGAUCGGCUAACUCCGUGCCAGCAGCCGCGGUAAUACGGAGGAUCCGAGCGUUAUCCGGAUUUAUUGGGUUUAAAGGGAGCGUAGGUGGAUUGUUAAGUCAGUUGUGAAAGUUUGCGGCUCAACCGUAAAAUUGCAGUUGAAACUGGCA
rnacentral:rRNA from 1 species